rnacentral:lncRNA from 1 species
AAUGUCGAACACAAAGGGAAAGAGGAAAGGCACCUGAUAUAUGUUCUCUAGGCUUUUUAGAAAACAUGGAGUUGUUUUUUUGGCCACGUGUAUGCAAAUCUAUAAGAAAGGUGACAUUAUAGACAUCAAGGGAAUGGGUACUGUUCAAAAAGGAAGGCCCCGCAAGUAUUACCAUGGCUAAACUGAAAGAGUCUACGGUGUUACCCAGCAUGCUGUUGGCAUUGUUAUAAACACACAAGUUAAGGGCAAGAUUCUUGCCAAGAAAAUUAAUGUACGUAUUGAGCACAUUAAGCACUCUAAGAGCCAAGAUAGCUUCCUGAAACACGUGAAGGAAAAUGAUCAGAAAAAGAAGGAAGCUGGCGGCACAGUAGCUCACGCCUGUAAUCCUAACACUUUGGGAGGCCGAGGCAGGCGGAUCACCUGAGGUCAGGAGUUUGAGACCAACCUGGCCAACAUGGUGAAAUCCCGUCUCUACUAAAAUACAAAAAUUAGCCGGGGAUGGUGGCAGCCACCUGUAAUCCCAGCUACUCAGGAGGCUGAGGCAGGGAGAAUUGUUCGAAUCCAGGAGGUGGAAGUUGCAGUGAGCCGAGGUUGGCCCACUGCACUCCAGCCUGGGCGACAGAGCAAGACUCUGUCUUAAAAAAAAAAAAAAAAAAAAGAAGGAAGCCAAACAGAAAGAUACCUGGGUCCAACUGAAGCACCAGCCUGCACCACCCAGAGAAGCACACUUUGUGAGAACCAAUGGGAAGGAGCCUGAGCUGCUGGAACCUGUUCCCUAUGAAUUCAUGGCA